UACGAAGGGGGCUAGCGUUGCUCGGAAUCACUGGGCGUAAAGGGUGCGUAGGCGGGUUAUUAAGUCAGAGGUGAAAUCCUGGAGCUCAACUCCAGAACUGCCUUUGAUACUGAUAGUCUUGAGUAUGGGAGAGGAGAGUGGAACUGCGAGUGUAGAGGUGAAAUUCGUAGAUAUUCGCAAGAACACCAGUGGCGAAGGCGGCUCACUGGCCCAUUACUGACGCUGAGGCACGAAAGCGUGGGGAGCAAACAGG
rnacentral:rRNA from 1 species